AGAGCGAACGCUGGCGGCAGGCCUAACACAUGCAAGUCGAGCGCCCGUAGCAAUACGGGAGCGGCAGACGGGAUAGUAACACGUGGGAACGCGCCCUUCGGUUCGGAAUAACUCAGGGAAACUUGAGCUAAUACCGGAUACGCCCUUACGGGGAAAGAUUUAUUGCCGAAGGAACGGCCCGCGUCCGAUUAGCUAGUUGGUGAGGUAAUGGCUCACCAAGGCGACGAUCGGUAGCUGGUCUGAGAGGAUGACCAGCAUCACUGGGACUGAGACACGGCCCAGACUCCUACGGGAGGCAGCAGUGGGGAAUAUUGGACAAUGGGCGCGAAGCCUGAUCCAGCCAUGCCGCGUGGAUGAUGAAGGCCUUAGGGUUGUAAAGUCCUUUUAACGGGGAAGAUAAGUGACGGUACCCGUAGAAUAAGCCCCGGCUAACUUCGUGCCAGCAGCCGC
rnacentral:rRNA from 1 species